UUUGCAGAACAUCGGUCUUUAUUCAAACAAAAAAGUUCAAUUCAUUCCUAGCACAAAGACUUACUCAAACAUGAUUCUAAAGCAUAAUUUCUUCCAACUCUCUCCUUUCAACAACCAUUAAUCGAUUUGCAAUUCAAAACUUCAGUUUCAUCAGCUUCAAAUAUAAUAUGUACCUUCUAAGAGAAAAGAUGAGAUACGAAUGAUGUGUGCUUAAUUUAAGGCGUUUCUUGAUUCUACUAGAGUAUUCUAGAGAACGACAGGCAAACCAACAGGCAUUUUCUUCAGUACUAGCUCUCAAGGAGGUGGCGAAGAGACUACCACGUUAGUUCCUUCUUUGAAUUCAAUGUGCGAUUUAAAAUAAGCUAUAUAUUCUUAUAUAUGAAUACAGAUGAUUUUAGUAAAAUUAAAUGGCUAUUGAUCUGCAGAUAUGAAACCCAUCUUAAGAUAAAAAUUAUUGAUAAAAAUUUUUAUAUCAACAAACUUCUUGCUUCAAUGAGUUUUAUAAAAUUAAAUGUUUAUUGAUCUGCAGAUAUGAAACACAUUUUAAGAGAAAAAUUGUUCAUAAAAUUUUUUAUAUCUACAAACUUCUUGCUUGAUCUUCUUGAACUGAAUUUUAAUUUCUGAUAUGUUCUUUCAUUUUGUCUGAAUCUCAAAAUCUCUAACAAAAGAAAUUUGAAUAAUAAUUUUAAGUAUAAUUAUUAUAAUAAAUAAAUAAAUAUGAAACAUAGAGAUGUAUAUGUACAAGAAAUGUUUAUAAUUUUUUUUUCUUUCUAGAUUAAUAUUUAAAUUUAAAAAAAAAUAGGGGAAGUGGUUAUAAUAAUUAUAUGAGAUGGACUACAACAGUAAAAGGGAUACAUGUCUUAAAGAAAAUAUACAUUGUUCUACACAAUUACAAAUGGAGUGGUGUAGGCUCCUGCUUUUUAGGCUUUUAGCAGUGGUGUAGACUACUAUUUUUAUUUUUCAGGCUUUUAGCAAAGAUUGUUUCUCCUUUUUUUAUUUUAUAUAUAUCUUAAAAAAAUUUUAAAUUGAAUUUUAAUUUCUGAUAUAUCCAUUCAUUUUGCCUGAAUCUCAAAAUCUCUAACGAAAAACAAUAUGAAUAAUAAUUUAUAAUUAUAAUUAUUAUAAUUAAUAAAUAAAUAAAUAUGAAACAUAGAGAUGUAUAUGUACAAGAAGUGUUUAUAAUUUUUUUUCUUUUUGAAUUAAUAUUUAAAUUUAAAAUUAAAAAAAGGGAAGAUAGAGGAAGUGGUUAUAAUAAUUAUAUGAGAUAGAAUACAUCAGUAAAAGGAAGACGUGUCAUAAAGAAAAUAUAUAUUGCUUUACACAAUAACAAAUGGAGUGGUGUAGGCUCCUGCCUGCUUUCAUUUUUAGGCUUUUAGCAAUGGUGUAGGCUACUGUUAUCAUUUUUAGGCUUUUAGCAAGACUGUUCUUUCUUUUUUUUAUUUUAUAUAUAAUUUUAUUAUUAUUAUUAUUUUAUUAUAAGGGGAUCCAAUAUUUACCUACCCAUUAUUUUUUUAUCACGUGGUUGAAUAUUUAACACAUAAUGAAAUAUCUUCUAUGGUGAGAAGAGAAAAGAAAAAUGAAGAGUUAUUUAAAGGUUGGAUGAAAAUACAUCGAUGAUGAUCCAGAAGAUCCAAGCGUGAUAGAUGCAUUUGUUUUUAUCUAAUUUUAUACGGUAUGUAAAUAUAUGUAAUUAGUAUUCCCACAUAUAGAAAUGUUAAACUACGUAAGUAUCUCACUUCAACAUUCAGCAGUAUGAUAUUCACAUGAAUAUAUUAUGAACAAAUUUGGCAGCUAAAAUAUGUUCGAAUUACUAAUUUUUCUCAUUGAAAUAUUAAUUUUGUUUGUUUAAUAUGCAACACAUUAAAUUUAGGUCCAUUAUAAAUACCUAUAAUGCUCCCAACUACAGCAUUAGCUGAAAGCAUGUCUACAAGCACGGAGCAGUAUUAUGCAUAUAGAUUCAGCAACUCCUAAAUGUUAGUUCCUAAUUUGUUAACAUUCAACUACUCUUGAUGUUCAGUUUCUUCAUACUGUCAAUUUGCUUAAUAAACAGUGCAUUUGUUUUGUGAACAAAAUGCUAUUUAACCAUGUAAUGUUGUAAAGUAUGCUAAUAGUUCAAUACAAAACAGUCAUCUAAUGUUGUGAAGUAUGGUAAUAGUCCAAUACAAAACAGUCAAGCAGAGCUGAUACCUGCACUUUGA